AGACCCGAAACCCGGUGAUCUAGCCAUGGGCAGGUUGAAGGUUGGGUAACACUAACUGGAGGACCGAACCGACUAAUGUUGAAAAAUUAGCGGAUGACCUGUGGCUGGGGGUGAAAGGCCAAUCAAACCGGGAGAUAGCUGGUUCUCCCCGAAAGCUAUUUAGGUAGCGCCUCGUGAAUUCAUCUCCGGGGGUAGAGCACUGUUUCGGCUAGGGGGCCAUCCCGGCUUACCAACCCGAUGCAAACUGCGAAUACCGGAGAAUGUUAUCACGGGAGACACACGGCGGGUGCUAACGUCCGUCGUGAAGAGGGAAACAACCCAGACCGCCAGCUAAGGUCCCAAAGUCAUGGUUAAGUGGGAAACGAUGUGGGAAGGCCCAGACAGCCAGGAUGUUGGCUUAGAAGCAGCCAUCAUUUAAAGAAAGCGUAAUAGCUCACUGGUCGAGUCGGCCUGCGCGGAAGAUGUAACGGGGCUAAACCAUGCACCGAAGCUGCGGCAGCGACGCUGAUGCGUUGUUGGGUAGGGGAGCGUUCUGUAAGCCUGUGAAGGUGGCCUGUGAGGGUUGCUGGAGGUAUCA
rnacentral:rRNA from 1 species